rnacentral:tRNA from 1 species
GCUGUAGCUUAGUGGUAGAGCACUCGCCCAGCAUAGGCAAGGCCCUGGGUUCCAGCCCCAGCAAAGCA